UUCCACAUUAGACUGUAAGCUCCAAGAACAAAAGGACUGUGAAUUCAUUGUCGUGUGUAGUGCUCACUUACUGUAGAACCAAGGGGGCCAUUUCCCAUCUGAGUCUACCAUCUGCUCAAAGGUGCUACCAUGCUCUUAUCCCAAACAGACUACCACAAUAUCUCAGGAAGGGCAAAAUGUCCCUCCCAGCAUCACCCCCA
rnacentral:lncRNA from 1 species